CACGUUGGAUAAUGUGUAUAAUUUAGUCUGACGAAAUUUAUGCAGUUGAAACGUGAAUAUCUAAGCAUAGAAAUUUGAUAUAGAUAACCACCGAAUGGCUCAUAAUCCAGCGGCAUGUCGCGCCUAUCGUUCCAAGCUCGAAAGAUAAAUAGAAGCACGGGGACCAGCACCGCCUCGAGGGCAUUACGUCGCUCGUUCUCUUUCACGCGCAGGUUGGUAUACCUCGAAUUUGCAUUGCCCAGACAACGGCAGUGCUGCUGUACCCAACGAAACUUCAAGCCUGCCAACAUUUCUAGCUUCCGUUUCGACAGCGCGUCACUCUCUCGUUGAAAA